GCUGAGUAGCUCAGUGGAUUGAGAGCCAGGUCUAGAGACUGGAGGUCUCCAGUUCAAAUCUGGCCUCAGACA
rnacentral:tRNA from 1 species